AAUCAACGCUGGCGGCGCGCUUAACACAUGCAAGUCGAGCGAGAAAGCGGAGCAAUCCGUGAGUACAGCGGCGUACGGGUGAGUAACACGUGGAUGAUCUACCUCUUAGUGGGGAAUAACUUUGGGAAACCGGAGCUAAUACCGCAUAAGCCUGAGAAGGGAAAGCCGCAAGGCGCUGGGAGAGGAGUCCGCGGCCGAUUAGCUAGUUGGUGAGGUAACGGCUCACCAAGGCGGGGAUCGGUAGCCGGCCUGAGAGGGCACACGGCCACACUGGCAC
rnacentral:rRNA from 1 species